rnacentral:rRNA from 1 species
ACGGAAGGCAGCAGUGGGGAAUAUUGGACAAUGGGGGAAACCCUGAUCCAGCGACGCCGCGUGAGUGAAGAAGUAUUUCGGUAUGUAAAGCUCUAUCAGCAAGGAAGAAAAUGACGGUACUUGACUAAGAAGCCCCGGCUAACUACGUGCCAGCAGCCGCGGUAAUACGUAGGGGGCAAGCGUUAUCCGGAUUUACUGGGUGUAAAGGGGGCGUAGACGGCAUAGCAAGUCUGAAGUGAAAUGCAUGGGCUCAACCCAUGAACUGCUUUGGAAACUGUUAAGCUAGAGUGCAGGAGAGGUAAGUGGAAUUCCUAGUGUAGCGGUGAAAUGCGUAGAUAUUAGGAGGAACACCAGUGGCGAAGGCGGCUUACUGGACUGUAACUGACGUUGAGGCUCGAAAGCGUGGGGAGCAAACAGGAUUAGAUACCCUGGUA